AAACGGACGCUAAUACCGCAUACGUCCUACGGGAGAAAGCAGGGGACCUUCGGGCCUUGCGCUAUCAGAUGAGCCUAGGUCGGAUUAGCUAGUUGGUGAGGUAAUGGCUCACCAAGGCGACGAUCCGUAACUGGUCUGAGAGGAUGAUCAGUCACACUGGAACUGAGACACGGUCCAGACUCCUACGGGAGGCAGCAGUGGGGAAUAUUGGACAAUGGGCGAAAGCCUGAUCCAGCCAUGCCGCGUGUGUGAAGAAGGUCUUCGGAUUGUAAAGCACUUUAAGUUGGGAGGAAGGGCAGUUACCUAAUACGUGAUUGUUUUGACGUUACCGACAGAAUAAGCACCGGCUAACUCUGUGCCAGCAGCCGCGGUAAUACAGAGGGGGCAAGCGUUAAUCGGAAUUACUGGGCGUAAAGCGCGCGUAGGUGGUUUGUUAAGUUGGAUGUGAAAUCCCCGGGCUCAACCUGGGAACUGCAUUCAAAACUGACUGACUAGAGUAUGGUAGAGGGUGGUGGAAUUUCCUGUGUAGCGGUGAAAUGCGUAGAUAUAGGAAGGAUCACCAGUGGCGAAGGCGACCACCUGGACUGAUACUGACACUGAGGUGCGAAAGCGUGGGGAGCAAAC
rnacentral:rRNA from 1 species